rnacentral:lncRNA from 10 species
AGUGACGCCAUCAGCCGUCGCCUGAGCCGUGGCGCGCGGGUGGCCGAAAGGCGAAAGUGAGAUUUCAAGGGCCGGGUCUGGGGCCCCGCGGGCGCGCAGUGCUGCGGCGUGUGGGGAGUACGGGGAGGCUGGAGAGGAGCCGGCCCCGGGCAGUGUGAGGUGCGGAAGCGCGGUCCAGACACUUUGCUGACGGGAGGCCGGUCCGCCAGAUCCGGGAGGUGGGGCCUCGUUCUGGACUGCUGUACGUAGUUUUAUUCCUGGUCAUUUUUUUCCACCGCCAAAUCGAGAGAUAGAGCUUUGGAUCAUGAGAGAUGGCGUCGUGUUGGGAAAAGAGCCUUCUUUACCUGAGUUUAAGCUCGGCUCAUAGACAUCCUCUACCUGAGUUUACACGUGUGUAAUAUGAAGGCAGUCGAUUAGGAGAUGUCUAAGAUCAUUACUUACACCUCAAGUUUCCAAGGGGAGGAAGACACGGGAAGGAUGCGUGGUCUGUGCCAGACUUUGUAGACGAUUCACUGAAUGACCCUGAUUUAGCUCUUCCGGCCCUCUUCGAUUCAGCUUGGAAGCAAGCAUAAAUAGUGAUUGUUGUCUGUAUACUUCUCUCGGAAGGAAUGCUGUUAUGGGAGUUGUGGGUUCAUUUUUAGGUGUCUGAAGAAGUUUCAGGACUUUUGAAAUGAUAGUGGAGCCCAUUGAACUCAGAAUUAUCCCUUUCUGGUCUAGUAGGAGUAUAGUGGCAUACGGAAAAUGAAGCAAACAUCAAAGACAGAUGUACUGGCACAAGAUUAAAAAUAAGAAACAGAGGCAAAUGCAGGUUAAGGAACCUCACAGUAAGGGAUAAAACUCAUAUUUUAACCUGAUCUGCCUGAUUCUGGAGCCUGCACCAUCAUUCCAUUGUCGUGCUUGCCACAUGACAUUUUGGAGUUUCUGAAAUAAAACCCACUUGA